UUAGGCAGUUCUGUUUGUGUAGAGAUCCUACAAUCCUUGACUUAACCUGCUGCCAGGUCUUUCCAAAACAUCACUUAUGCUGGUGCAAAGCAGAUCAUGAAAACACAAACGGUUUGUUUCAGAAAUGUUCUCAGAUGCAAUGUCCUUUUUAAGCCUGUUAUGUGGACUGAUAUCCAUCCCUCACAUUAGAUAAAGGUGGAUGUACUUUACUGUAAGUCUCACCAUCUGUUGGGCCGUGUGUCACUUUGAUUUCCAGGUCAAUUCUCCUCCACUUGUUUAAGCGCAGAGUUGAACUCCUUCACCCAAAAAAUAUUGUUUUAUUCAUGGCUAAGGGAACAACCCCUGAGGUUAUGAGUGGAAGACACAUCUGUCUGUAGUGACUAUGCUUUGACGAUCAACAGCACUUCGGGUCUGUGGACUUCCGAUCAGAGCUCAACCCUGGGAAACUCUGUGCUCGUCAUCCUCCGUGGUGGUGUGGCUCUCUUGUUUACUUGUCACUUACUACAGAUGUUUGUAGGCCUUUUCCACGGGGUUCAUUCACUGCCUUCAUUACCUCAUUGUGUUUCCCUGUGAGUUUCCACAGAUGUGUCAUAUGUCUGCGCAGACGGCGCGAGGGUCGGGAAUAGGAGUUGUUUGUUGUUUUUUACCGGAAGUGCUGGUUGGUGGAAAUCGUCACAUCCGAUCUUUUGGUCUGUCUCGUAUAUCUUUAAAUAGUUCAUUCAGUUGUAUAGCUUACAUGGCCACUGCUGAUCUAGCUUAAACUGCUUGGAACUAGUAUUAUUUCAGAUUCCCUGAGGUAUAGAAAGUGUUUUUUUAUGAUAUCUAGAUGAUUAUGUUUUUUAAUGAUGCCUCUGACACGCAUUUCAAGGUUGCCUCUGACACGUAUUUCAAUAGGAUAGCGAUGGAGACGAUUCAACAGCUUAAUGCUUACCCUCUUUUUUGCUGAAUGAAUUUUUUUUUUUUUUUAUCAUAUAAUUUAGUUAAAUAAAUUAAUGGAGUUUAAGCUGUUAUAGGUAUUUGAUGUAUACUCUAUAGUCAUUAGCCUACAAGGUCUAUAUCAGGGUACAAUAUCCUUUUACGUUUUUGUAUUGCUCCAUAUAUAAAUAUUGGAAUUUAGUUUUGCAUUCAUCCAUAGGAAAAUGCUUUAGGUGAUCUCCAGUUCAAUGACCACUUUGUUAUAAAUUGUUAGUACCCUGGAACAAUUCAGGGGUAUGCUGGGGGAUUCUGUUUUGAUUGUAAAACAUUAUGUGAAGGGGAAUUCUGAAGUUAUUAAGAAGCACAAAGCACAAGCACACGCACACACACAUAUCAGACCUCUGUAUGAUAACUAACUCCUAGAUGUACUGCAAGCGCCAUUCCCGACGUAAAUAUGCGACAGGGUUUAAAGUACGAGUGUCUUAAAGUCUGAAAGGACCCAGUCAUGACUUUGAACAGAGGACAGAUGACACAUGCACACACACACACACACACACACACACACACACACACACACACACACACACACACACACACACACACACACACACACACACACACACACACACACACACACACACACACACACACACAUACACAUACACACACACAGUCCACCAAUCGAGUCUCAGACCACACUGAGAGUCUCAGGAUUUAUUACUCAGAUCAAAUGUUUUGGUUGGGCUGUGUGAUUUCUUAAUUUUAAAUGUAGCCAAUAUUAUCAAUAUUAUUUCACGAUGUCCGAACCGAUCCGCACGGAAGUAAACAUGGAGGCCACUGAGGUCACAAUUAAUGGUUUUGUUUGAAAGUUGAUGUAGUGGUGAUGUAGUGGUGUUGUGACAGUGUCGACAUUCUCACACAGAUCUCUGUGAGAAUCUAUUAGUUUGUUUACUGGUAACGCUGCAGUUACACUUUUAACAAUUUAUACAAUUUUCCUUUUCACUUCUAAAGCGGUUACAUUGAAAAACAAUGCUUUUGUAGUUAGGCAAAAAGAAAAACGACUACGAUUUCUGCGUGAACGUCAGUCGCUUUCCGAUCCACUCUUCGGCCAAGUCCCACUCUGCUCCGGCAGAGCUUCCAAAACGUAAAAAAGUUACAUUUUGGAAUAAAGUUAUAUAACCAAAACUUUAUCGCAGACACACAACUUCCAUAGUAUGAGAGGAAAAGUUAGGAUGAAAUUGCACAGCAGGACUAGAGCUCAUUCACAGAGUGUGUCCCUGCCGCCCAGAAUUGUGACUUAUAUCGAGAUUCUAGAGUGACGUAAAAGUAGCAUGAAUUCCGAGGUCACACUGCAAAACAUUUAGGACCACAUUUGUAAUCAGAAUUGAAAAGAUGAGAUUCCAUGGGAUUUCUGCUGUUCACAAUGUUAUAAAACAAUCGUAAAUGAGUCACAUAUGAUAUCUUUGGGCCACUUUUGCUUGCAGUGUGUGAACGAUCAACAGACCUAAGUGUUCCACUGCGGGUAUUUCCCAGGCAGUGCAUCAUGUCUGUCAUGACUGCUAGUUGGAACUGUGUAUUAUCUCAAACAGACUGAUGUUAGACUAAAAGCAUAGACAACACUUAAUCACGCACGCACACGUACGCCUAUGCUGGAUCCCCAUAAGGACUGAAAUAAGCAUUUGAAGCUUUUCCAGGUUAAGCCCUCCCUUAUGUUGAUUUUGUUUGUGUUGGGUAACACUGUGCAUGAGAAGCAACCUGCAAUUUCAACAUUCUCAAAGUCUUGAGAAAGACAUUCAAAAGUUAUGAAACACAAUCAACACUGCAGUCAGCAUAUGUGACAACGACAGAGAGGUACCACCUCCUAGAGCCAGAGGAAUCUUUCUCUGGCUUAGUGUUGGAGUGUUGUUUUUAGACUCGGAGACCCCCUCCACAGACAAAGGGUCGGGUGUUCUUAAGACAUGUGACACAGUUCCUGUUGGAAAGCGCUCGGAUACAAUGGGGAUCCAUUCUAUUGCAUACCGAUAUAACUCCUGCUGUAGAUGACCCAAGCCUCCAUUGUUGAAGCCUAUAUGUAUAUUGAGACCGCUUGGCCGAGGGCGGCAAUUCUUGCCUAGACGAUAACUCUGAGAUGACUUUUCAGGAAGCAUGGAGGGUUUGGUCUGAACAACGUAAACCAUAGAUUUUCAACGUUUUAAGAAUAUUUAUAUUUUAUUUGUCAAUUUAUUAUUCAUGUAGUUAUUUCAUGGUCCGGAUUAUACGAUAAACCUGCAUACGAGAUGUAGAUAUUGACGUAUAAACAGAUGUUUCGUAACCAUACCCUCCAAAAACAGUUCCAUGGAUGGAACUCUUAAGCCUAUGUUUAAGUUGUCACUUAGCUGAAAGUCAAAAGGAAAAGUUUCUGUUGGACAUAUUCUUAAUUUGUUUAUAGUUUCAAUUAAUGUUUUUUCCUGCUAAAAUGCUAAAAUGUACUGUUUAAUACGAUGUGAAGUGUUGCAUUUCUAUUAAUCAUAUAAGAGCACCAGCAGAAUGAAAACUGGAAGCAACUCAAGCUGCAAUAAUGAAGGACCGGUGCACACUA